GGAAUUGUGCCCGAAUAACUAAGGACCACUUUGAUAGAGUGACUAAUGUGGGUUAAACUCCCCCCAAUUCCU
rnacentral:tRNA from 1 species